AUUUGUGAUUGAGCUACAUUGAAUAAUAGCUGACAGUUUUUGGUUAUUUACACAUUCGGGGCAGCAACAGUUUUCAUCUGCUAGAUCUCGAUUGUGGCCCAAUAUUCUUGGACAGUGCAUAACGGAACUUGCGCGAGGUAUCAUUUGAAUUCGUGAAUCAUAGUAGAAAAUACGAUCCCGUCAACGACAGCACUAGACGAGUGAACGGAUGAAAUCGACACACGGCCGACGCUCGGAACUCUUAGAGCCAAAGAAGACAAGGGGAGCCAUCGGAAUGGAAAAUCCGGAUACGCAAGUUUAUGCAUCAAUUGACAAUCUCUGA